rnacentral:lncRNA from 1 species
UUAGCUUCAAAGAAGGCUCCUUGCAAGAAUCAAAAGGCCAGCGAAUUCUACAAAGAAAGGCAUACCAUACGGAUGUAAAACAGGCAAUCACAAGAAUAGAAAGAAAAACUGAAAACAGAAAGAAAAAGGCAGGAAGUUUAAAAUGAACUCGCCACAACGGCAAAAGCAUAUACCAACAUCAGUUAUAAAAAAACGAGGAAAAAACUUGAAGUCAGUUCAUAAAAAAGACAACGUUACAAAAGCACUUAGAUAACAAUAGUCCAAAACACAUAAAUCUGUAGCAAGAAACUCACCAAGGCAAUUUUCCUAAAAACUCAUCCAAGCUGUUUUUGUCCCAAAAAACUGCAAAAAUCUCUUCUAAACUUGAAAAUCAAGAAGGCUACCGAUAAAUAAAAAUAGUUCAAGCAAAAAAACAACAAUAGGCUAUUGAUUUAAAAAAUCAUUGAUAAAAACUAUUAAACAUAACCUCAAACCUGAAAAAGAUGCCUCCUUUAUCAUUGAUCCCUUGCUCUAUUGGGAAAAAACAGAAAAACCCACAACACGGUUUCUUCAGAAAACAAAAAAAAAAAGUACAAAAGAACUCGGGCAUAAGAAAGUGGAGGAAUUAGAAGAAUCAAAACUUUUAAGCAUACAGAAUGUACUUUAGAAAAGGAAACAAAAGACUUGCAAGAUGUCAUCAGGUUGCCGGAAGUAAUUUCCAAUUUGUCACCUGCAAUAUCAGAAAUAUGUAAAUUAGACAACUACAACCCAUUUAAAAAAAAAAGAAAAAAAUGAGGGCUAGAGAAGUUCUGCAAAGGAAGAAACAAGAACCUUUAAAAGUAUAUACAUAAACCAUCUUUUUUGGCUUAUCAUUAUUCUCCAUCAGAAGACGAAGACAAAGAAAAGAGAAAGAGAAGAAGGGGGCUUUCUCGUCGGAGAAGAAGAAACGAAGAGAAAGAGAGAGAGAGAGAGAGAGAGAGAGAGACGAUGAACAAAGAGGGAGGGAUAAAUGAUGGUUCUGAUCCAGUAGGUGUGACCAAAAAAGCUGACAUUAGGUAAGGUGGGAAAGAGACAUAGGCC